CGGGAGGCAGCAGUAGGGAAUCUUCCACAAUGGACGCAAGUCUGAUGGAGCAACGCCGCGUGAGUGAAGAAGGUUUUCGGAUCGUAAAGCUCUGUUGUUGGUGAAGAAGGAUAGAGGUAGUAACUGGCCUUUAUUUGACGGUAAUCAACCAGAAAGUCACGGCUAACUACGUGCCAGCAGCCGCGGUAAUACGUAGGUGGCAAGCGUUGUCCGGAUUUAUUGGGCGUAAAGCGAGCGCAGGCGGAAAAAUAAGUCUAAUGUGAAAGCCCUCGGCUUAACCGAGGAACUGCAUCGGAAACUGUUUUUCUUGAGUGCAGAAGAGGAGAGUGGAACUCCAUGUGUAGCGGUGGAAUGCGUAGAUAUAUGGAAGAACACCAGUGGCGAAGGCGGCUCUCUGGUCUGCAACUGACGCUGAGGCUCGAAAGCAUGGGUAGCGAACAGGAUUAGAUACCCUGGUAGUCCAUGCCGUAAACGAUGAGUGCUAAGUGUUGGGAGGUUUCCGCCUCUCAGUGCUGCAGCUAACGCAUUAAGCACUCCGCCUGGGGAGUACGACCGCAAGGUUGAAACUCAAAGGAAUUGACGGGGGCCCGCACAAGCGGUGGAGCAUGUGGUUUAAUUCGAAGCAACGCGAAGAACCUUACCAGGUCUUGACAUCUAGUGCAAUCUGUAGAGAUACGGAGUUCCCUUCGGGGACGCUAAGACAGGUGGUGCAUGGCUGUCGUCAGCUCGUGUCGUGAGAUGUUGGGUUAAGUCCCGCAACGAGCGCAACCCUUGUUAUUAGUUGCCAGCAUUAAGUUGGGCACUCUAAUGAGACUGCCGGUGACAAACCGGAGGAAGGUGGGGAUGACGUCAAGUCAUCAUGCCCCUUAUGACCUGGGCUACACACGUGCUACAAUGGGCAGUACAACGAGAAGCAAGCCUGCGAAGGCAAGCGAAUCUCUGAAAGCUGUUCUCAGUUCGGACUGCAGUCUGCAACUCGACUGCACGAAGCUGGAAUCGCUAGUAAUCGCGGAUCAGCACGCCGCGGUGAAUACGUUCCCGGGCCUUGUACACACCGCCCGUCACACCAUGGGAGUCUGCAAUGCCCAAAGCCGGUGGCCUAACCUUCGGGAAGGAGCC
rnacentral:rRNA from 1 species